rnacentral:piRNA from 1 species
UAAUUUUGCUGAAAAACAAAA